GACGGAGGGGGCUAGCGUUGUUCGGAAUUACUGGGCGUAAAGGGCUCGUAGGUGGCCAACUAAGUCAGACGUGAAAUCCCUCGGCUUAACCGGGGAACUGCGUCUGAUACUGGAUGGCUUGAGUUUGGGAGAGGGACGCGGAAUUCCAGGUGUAGCGGUGAAAUGCGUAGAUAUCUGGAGGAACACCGGUGGCGAAGGCGGCGUCCUGGACCAACACUGACACUGAUGAGCGAAAGCCAGGGGAGCAAACGGG
rnacentral:rRNA from 1 species